UAUUUUCUGCCGAUUUGGUCCCAGUUUAUUUUCUUGCCUUUUCUGCCGAUUUGCUCCCCCGAUUCUUUUCUUUUCUAUUUCGGCCGAUUUGCUCACAGUUUCUGCCGAUUUGCGUCAUCGGUUAGCCUAUGUUUCCCGAUAGAUUAAUAUCCUUUUCUAUUGUAGAUGAAAACCAAAACUUUCGAGGUAAAUAUGAUCUAUUGUUUUUAUCUAAUCGGUUUCC
rnacentral:lncRNA from 1 species